CAAGGUUCAAUCUGGUCCGGAGGUAGACAGGCUGUUUCAGCAGUCCGAGGCCGGCAACUUACCAGCUGAAGCGCAGUGAGAGAAACAAACUACCGAGUCACGUUUUGCUGAGCUUCGGUCCAUUAGGGAUGUUGAAUUACAGUUAGGGGUGGGUCCUAGACUCGGCUCGGAUUUAUAACGUCCUGUUGCACGUGCCCGCUGACGCACACUUCACGAGCGACGUCUGCGAGUGCACUGGACAGAGUGAUAAGAGAAAAACUUGGAACGACGACAGAGCUCCGAGAACCGACUUCUCGUUGACUUGUGGGAUGACUGUACCAGGCGUAUAUCUCGUUUCUAAUGUUAACGUGGUCUGACUGAUUCGUGUGGAUACAAGAAAAUGAAUCAAACUAACUUUUUUUUCUGAAGUUUUGCUUUAUGUUGUGAGUUGAUAAUUAUGCUUACUUAUUUUUCGUUUAAAAGUAAAAUAGUUAAGUUUCGGUUGAAGUGUGUAGAAACUGUGAUAACUUAAAGUGAGUUUCUUAUGACAAACUUCGCUCAGUCCUCGAAACUUUCGUACUUUAGUAACGUUAGAAAAUUUUAAAUGUAAAAACUAUUUGAUAACUUAUAGAAACAACUACUUAGCAGAUUUGAGUAUUUAGAAACUUGUAAGUUUGUUAACUUAAAGGAGACUAAUGUUAAUUACCAUGGAAACCAGAGAGCUUAAUAGCUUUGGAAAAAUGACAGAUUCCUUCGUACUUCUGCACAUCAGGAUGCGACACAUUCCUUCGUACUUCUGCACAUCAGGAUGCGACACAUUCCUUCUUAAUUCUGCACCAUCAUCAGUGCUUCUUACUUUCGGACACUACCAGGUGUGACACGUAAUUUCUUACUUCUGCACAACCAGGACUGAUGUCUUCCUUCUGACCUCACCAGGACACGGUGCUUCUUUGCUUCCCAUAUCUGUAAUCAGCUUUAUGGAAUGUAAAGAAGUAUGGAGUCCUGGGAGGAAAUGUCCACAACUCUGCAGUCACCAUUGUGCACGUUCAGAUCAGGGUCGUUCCAAGUUACAAUUAUGAAAGCUAUAUUUUAGCAGACCCCAAAAUAUUUUGAACAAUAUCAGAUCUGUUUUAUUCGAACAGCCUUUGUUGAGACGUGACCAGUAUCGUCGAAGGUAUUGUCGUUUGUUUACAGUGUACCCUGUUCAUUCAAAGAUGAUAAGUUUCACCUUCUGUCAUAUUUGAUGGAACUUAUCAACUUACAAAAUGGCGGCUGUCACGCCGUUGUCGAGAUGAGCGCUGAUGACCCAAUAAAGUUUUUGUACGUUAUUACUUACACGGGGACGCUGCCAUAGUAACCGAUGUGAUCCAAUAGAACGUUUCGCUACAUUAUUGUAAGUUGGCACUCGUCACAUUGUUAUUGUAAUGCGUGAUGCCGAUUCAUUGUAUAUAGCUUAUCCGUUGGUAAGCCUUAGUUUUAUUUUCUCUUUCUUCCUUUUCGUUUACUUUUACACAUCUUUAUGUAACCAAUUGAAAAAUAAAAACUUCUGAACGUAUUA